rnacentral:rRNA from 1 species
CGACCGGCGCACGGGUGAGUAACGCGUAUCCAACCUUCCCAUUACUGUGGGAUAACCUGCCGAAAGGCAGACUAAUACCGCAUAGUCUUCGAUGACGGCAUCAGAUUUGAAGUAAAGAUUUAUCGGUAAUGGAUGGGGAUGCGUCUGAUUAGCUUGUUGGCGGGGUAACGGCCCACCAAGGCUACAUCAGUAGGGGUUCUGAGAGGAAGGUCCCCCACAUUGGAACUGAGACACGGUCCAA